AUUGAACGCUGGCGGCAUGCCUUACACAUGCAAGUCGAACGGCAGCACGGGAGCUUGCUCCUGGUGGCGAGUGGCGAACGGGUGAGUAAUACAUCGGAACGUACCCAGGAGUGGGGGAUAACGUAGCGAAAGUUACGCUAAUACCGCAUAUUCUGUGAGCAGGAAAGCGGGGGAUCGCAAGACCUCGCGCUCUUGGAGCGGCCGAUGUCGGAUUAGCUAGUUGGUGAGGUAAAAGCUCACCAAGGCGACGAUCCGUAGCAGGUCUGAGAGGAUGAUCUGCCACGCUGGGACUGAGACACGGCCCAGACUCCUACGGGAGGCAGCAGUGGGGAAUUGUGGACAAUGGGGGCAACCCUGAUCCAGCCAUGCCGCGUGAGUGAAGAAGGCCUUCGGGUUGUAAAGCUCUUUCGGCGGGGAAGAAAUGGCAACGGCUAAUAUCCGUUGUUGAUGACGGUACCCGCAUAAGAAGCACCGGCUAACUACGUGCCAGCCGCCGCGGUAACAC
rnacentral:rRNA from 1 species